rnacentral:rRNA from 1 species
GAUGAACGCUGGCGGCGUGCCUAAUACAUGCAAGUCGAGCGAACAGACGAGGAGCUUGCUCCUCUGACGUUAGCGGCGGACGGGUGAGUAACACGUGGAUAACCUACCUAUAAGACUGGGAUAACUUCGGGAAACCGGAGCUAACACCGGAUAAUAUAUUGAACCGCAUGGUUCAAUAGUGAAAGACGGUUUUGCUGUCACUUAUAGAUGGAUCCGCGCCGCAUUAGCUAGUUGGUAAGGUAACGGCUUACCAAGGCAACGAUGCGUAGCCGACCUGAGAGGGUGAUCGGCCACACUGGAACUGAGACACGGUCCAGACUCCUACGAGAGGCAGCAGUAGGGAAUCUUCCGCAAUGGGCGAAAGCCUGACGGAGCAACGCCGCGUGAGUGAUGAAGGUCUUCGGAUCGUAAAACUCUGUUAUUAGGGAAGAACAAAUGUGUAAGUAACUAUGCACGUCUUGACGGUACCUAAUCAGAAAGCCACGGCUAACUACGUG